GGGUUUUGUUCUUUUUUUGUUUGUUUGUUUUCACAAUAUCCAUCUUACUGACACAUUGAUUUAUGGUCCUUCAGCUUUUUGGGCAAAGUCCUAUAUAAUCUAACAGACAGCCACAAACUUUCUACGAAUUUUGUUAAAGAAGCUAAAGGUUUUCUAAUCUUCUCUUAAACACGAAUUAGCUUUGGCAUUCUCUGAAGGAACUUCAGAAGUAUGAAGGUUGGAAAUGAAUCAGUCAUGCAUUAGUCACAUUUUAUACUCUUGCUAUGAGAGUGAAGCAGUGGUGGACUGGGCUCCAGGUUCCAGUGCUACAGAAAAACUCCCAUGUGCACAGGGAAGGUUGAGCACACCAGCAGUCCCACUGAAAUCAGAGAGGAUCUGCAUCUGCUCACCCACACAGACUGGAGCUGUAAGGAAGAGGGGACACAAUUAGUAGAACUCCUGGGGUGUUUUUGUUUGUUUUGUUUUGUUUUUCACUAGUUUCCUGGCAUUUUUCAACAUUUUUACAUGGUAUUCACUCCCCUAUAUAAUGGGGAGGACUGUGGCAGUAUUGUAACUAUUUCAGAUUUGCACUCUUGCAUGUGAUUUAAACAAACUGAUUGUUUGAGAGGAGCAUUCACAGGGUGAAAGAGGUAUAGUGCAAGCUGGAUAUUAUUUAUUUAUUUUUUAUUUGGGGGUUUAUUUUCAGAAGUAUUUCUCUUUAAUGACUGCAGUACUGUAAAUUAUUUCUGAAGGUGAGCUUAAUGUUCUCACACUUUGGUACUUUUUUUCCAAGUUAUAGGUGUAGUGAUGCUAGUUGGAAUCCUUUAUCUUGAAGGAGGUCAAGUAAUACUCGGGCAUAUUUCACUUCAAGUCUCAUAAAAAACCAGCAUGGUGGUCUGAGCUCUGUCUAAUAACAGUCAUUGCGUAAUGCUUCCCUUCUUUUGUGGUCCAAGGCCAGCCUUUCCCCUUAAUAAAUGCAACAGAGGCUUGCUUCCA
rnacentral:lncRNA from 1 species